rnacentral:rRNA from 1 species
UUUGAUCCUGGCUCAGAACGAACGCUGGCGGCACGCCUAACACAUGCAUGUCGAGCGCUACCUUCGGGUGGAGCGGCGGACGGGUUAGUAACGCGUGGGAACAUACCCUUUUCUACGGAAUAGCCUCGGGAAACUGAGAGUAAUACCGUAUACGCCCUUUUGGGGAAAGAUUUAUCGGUGAAGGAUUGGCCCGCGUUAGAUUAGAUAGUUGGUGGGGUAAUGGCCUACCAAGUCUACGAUCUAUAGCUGGUUUGAGAGGAUGAUCAGCAACACUGGGACUGAGACACGGCCCAGACUCCUACGGGAGGCAGCAGUGGGGAAUCUUAGACAAUGGGCGCAAGCCUGAUCUAGCGAUGCCGCGUGAGUGACGAAGGCCUUAGGGUCGUAAAGCUCUUUCGCCAGGGAUGAUAAUGACAGUACCUGGUAAAGAAACCCCGGCUAACUCCGUGCCAGCAGCCGCGGUAAUA